AUGAUUUUAGAAAAUAAGGGCGAUAUUAUUUUUUCUCUUAGUUAGAAUUUAGAACCUAUGAAAUAACUAAUUUAAAUUUUAAUAAAUAAAAAAGAAUGAAAUAAGGGCGCAAUUGUUAAAGAAAUAAAAACAUAAAACAUUAAUUGUUGGAAAUUGGAGUGUGUUCUUUAAGGACUUUUUCACUCGGUUUUUAACUAACCGAGGGAAUAGAUAACUUUUAUUGAACACAAAAAAAUAGUGAACAGUAAGAAAUAUCAUACACAACUUCUUAUUAUUGACCAUUUUCU
rnacentral:lncRNA from 1 species